rnacentral:rRNA from 1 species
UACAGAGGGUGCGAGCGUUGUUCGGAAUUAUUGGGCGUAAAGCGCGCGCAGGCGGCGAUCUACGUCUGGGGUGAAAGCCCGGAGCUCAACUCCGGGACUGCCUUGGAUACGGGAUCGCUUGAGGAUUGGAGAGGCAAGGGGAAUUCCACGUGUAGCGGUGAAAUGCGUAGAUAUGUGGAGGAACACCUGUGGCGAAGGCGCCUUGCUGGCCAAUUUCUGACGCUGAGGCGCGAAAGCGUGGGGAGCAAACAGG